UAGCUCAGUUAGUUGAGCGUGGCGCUAACAACGCCAAGGUCACGGGUUCAAUUCCUGU
rnacentral:tRNA from 1 species